ACGAAAAAGUGGCUUCAAGAGCAUUGUUCAUAACCAGUAAGACUCACUAAUGUUUUCUACAGCAUUUCCAAUGACACAUGACUGGCUGGUGGCUUUCAGUUUCAGGUCUUGGAGACAAUU
rnacentral:snoRNA from 1 species